rnacentral:lncRNA from 1 species
AGAGUGAAGAAGAAGAGGAGGAAGAGGAAUGGCAAAGGGAAGAGAGAGAAGAGGGAGAAGGAAGAAGAGGAGGAGAUUAUGCACGACACUUGUUAAAAUUGCAACACUGAGACGGUAUUAGCAGCCCAGUUCUUCAUUUGAGAAGACCAAAGCACAGAGGGGCUAAGUGAUUUGCCCGGGCCCACACAGCUGGGUUGUUGCUGAGCCAGCAUUUGAAACCAGGCUACAUCCUUGAAUCUCAGCUUGGACUUGGUAUCAUUCAGAGUCCUACCAAGAGAAUCAAAACCACUUCAGGUAUUUCCUACAGAAAGAAUUUAAUGCAGGUGAAUUGUGUAUGCAGGUGACAAGAGAACUGAGAGCCCAACCCAGAAUGCUGAGACAUCCCAUAGAUAAGCAACAGCAGGGAGCUGUUCCCACCUGUACGCUAGAGGGAUAAAGGGAACGGGUGAUGUUACAGAGCCCAGGGGCCUGUCUGGCAGGAGAUGAAAAUACCAAGGUGACACAGCCAUUUCCAGAGAGGCUGUCAAACCAAAGAAGAGGGUGAAGGGGAGGAGGGAGGAAAAGAGAGCAGAGAAGGAGGAGAAAUAAUAGUAAUAAUAAUGAUACUCUGCUUCUCCCUCCCAGUGCCUCCACCACCAGUCUCUCAUGAAUGACUCUCCUUGUCAGGGCCCAGAUGGAAGCCAGCUGACAUGCAAGCCUGGGAACUGCAGCCUGCAGAGAUCAACAACCCCACGGAGUCACAGAGCAGAGCAGACAGACACACAGAAGAAAAGGCAAUGUGAAGACAAGACAGAGGCCGGAUGGAGGUGAUGCCACCACAAGCCAAG